AGGGAAUAAAGCACAUUGUCUGGGAAAUGGCUGAAAUGCAGGCACAAACAAAACAGAAACAGAAGGUGAGGAUCCAGCUCUCCAGUCUGGAUGGGGAGACUAGAAACACACUACAUACAAGUGAAAAAAAUUUCAUAGGAAUUACAAGAAUACCAAAACAAUGCAAAAUAACAGCUCCAAACAAGCCUUGUAUACACAUCUCCAGGCAAUAGCUGGCACUGCAUUUGUCCAGUAGUAAUCUAGGGCAGUGGGUGGGGAGGUCCUUCUGCUGCGCAGGGGCUGUGGUGAGGCCUUUCAGGUCCAGCUUAAGCCACUCUGAUUCCAGCCACCACCCCACCUUAGAUGGGCAAGCUGUUCCUUUCCAGAUCAACUCAUCUCCACCCACAACACAGUGCUUAUGUAUUCAGUCUAAAAUAGCACAAUUUAUCAAGAGUAUUCCAUCGUAAUUUUAAAAUGUCGUGUUUAUAUUUUACCUCCACCUGGACAGAAACUCGUUCCUUUGUAUUCUUACUGCCCCUCCACCUCCCCAUAGCAACCAGCACAAGAUUCCACCGUGUGUAGUCUAUAAAUAAAUGUUAAAUCAUAGAGCCUUAGAAUUUUGGAGUCAGACGGGGAUCUUCAGAGUUGCAUUUGUCCAGUCCUUUAUAGAUGGGGAAACAGGUCUAGAGAGAUUAGGUGACUUGCUCAAAGCCACACAGCUGGCUAUUGACAAGGCAAGGAGCAGAGCCCAGGUUUCUCCUGCCUGAAGUCUGUACCCUGAACUGUCCUUAGAUAAUCAGUGACAGACACCUGAGUUCACACAAGGUCUCCAGGGGUUGAUGGUGAUAGGAGAAACUGGCUUUCCCAAAACAUGUACAAAGAUUCGGUCCACGCCCCUAGCAGACCUUCGGGAGGACUAACUCCUCAGCUCGGCGUCCAGCAGAGUCCCAAGUUACAGUCGCACUUGUUUAUGCGUCUGUCGGCCUCCUCCGACAGGACCGAGUACUCGAGGGCCCCGCGCUCAGGGGCUCCCCUCCGGCCCCUCCCCCGCCGCCGAGCUGUCACACAGCCGCCGCGCGGCCCGCCCCCACGUGGACUGGGCUCGGAGGAUCAAAGUCUGUUUGCAGACUUUGCAGCCCGGCCCCCGCAGGUGUGCUGGGAGUUGCGAUGGUCCGCAGGCCAGGACUCCGCCACACCCGAGGGGACCCGGCCAGCCCCUCCCCCUCCCGCUGCACGCGGCCCGCGCCCCCAAUUCGCCCG
rnacentral:lncRNA from 1 species